rnacentral:tRNA from 1 species
UUCCCUGUGGCUCAGUUGGUAGAGCAUGGUGUGUGCAAUGCCAGGGUUGUGGGUUCGAUUCCCAUUACAAAAA